ACAGGGAUUGCCUCAGUAACGGCGAGUGAAGCGGCAACAGCUCAAAUUUGAAAUCUGGCCCCAGGCCCGAGUUGUAAUUUGCAGAGGAUGCUUCUGGUGAGGUGCCUUCCAAGUCCCCUGGAACGGGGCGCCGAAGAGGGUGAGAGCCCCGUCCGGUUGGCCGCCAAGCCUGUGUGAAGCUCCUUCGACGAGUCGAGUAGUUUGGGAAUGCUGCUCUAAACGGGAGGUAGACCCCUUCUAAAGCUAAAUAUUGGCCAGAGACCGAUAGCGCACAAGUAGAGUGAUCGAAAGAUGAAAAGCACUUUGAAAAGAGGGUUAAAAAGUACGUGAAAUUGUUGAAAGGGAAGCGCUUGUGACCAGACGUGUGCCGGGGUGUUCAGCGGGCGUUCUCGCCCGUGCACUCGCCCCGGUACAGGCCAGCGUCGGUUCGCGCGGGGGGACAAAGGCGUUGGGAACGUAGCUCCUCCGGGAGUGUUAUAGCCCAGCGUGCCAUGCCCCCGCGCGGACCGAGGUUCGCGCUCCGCAAGGACGCUGGCGUAAUGGUCUCCAGCGGCCCGUCUUGAAACACGGACCAAGGAGUCGAGGUUUUGCGCGAGUGUUUGGGUGUCAAACCCGCACGCGUAAUGAAAGUGAACGCAGGUGGGAGCUUCGGCGCACCACCGACCGAUCCUGAUGUUCUCGGAUGGAUUUGAGUAGGAGCGUAGGGCCUCGGACCCGAAAGAUGGUGAACUAUACGUGGAUAGGGUGAAGCCAGAGGAAACUCUGGUGGAGGCUCGCAGCGGUUCUGACGUGCAAAUCGAUCGUCAAAUCUGCGUAUGGGGGCGAAAGACUAAUCGA
rnacentral:rRNA from 1 species